GCAGGCGUAGCUCAGAGGUAGAGCAGCGGGCUUUUAACCCGUGGGUCGGGGGUUCGAUCCCCUCCGCCUGUACCA
rnacentral:tRNA from 1 species